UAAAAUAAUUAAGGGCACACAAAGGAUGCCUAGGUAGUAAGAGCCGAUGAAGGACGUGGUAAGCUGCGAUAAGCCUAGAUAAGUUGCAAUCGAACGUAAGAGUCUAGGAUUUCCGAAUGGAGCAAUCUAUUAAGAUGGAGUCUUAAUACGAAAGAGGGAACCGCGUGAACUGAAACAUCUAAGUAACGCGAGGAAAAGAAAGUAAAAACGAUACCCAAAGUAGCGGCGAGCGAAAUGGGUCAAGCCUAAACCUUAAAUAUGUCAAGGAUACAGCCGUUGUAUUUAGGGGGUUGAGGGACAGAGUAGUGAAGAACUGUAAGAUAUUCAAUAUAGUGUAUUGAUGAAUUGGAAUUGUCUGGAAAGGCGAACCGUAGAAGGUGAAAGUCCUGUACAAGUAAAUCCUUACACAUAUAACUCUGCUCCCAAGUAACAUGGAACACGAGGAAUUCUGUGUGAAUCUGUGAGGACCAUAUCUCAUAAGGCUAAAUACUCUUACUAACCGAUAGCGCAUAGUACCGUGAGGGAAAGGUGAAAAGAACCCCUGGAGGGGAGUGAAAUAGAACCUGAAAUUGUGUGCUUACAAGCGGUCAGAGCCAGUAAUGGUGAUGGCGUGCCUUUUGGAGAAUGAUCCUGCGAGUUACGUUAAACGGCGAGGUUAAGUAUAACGGAGCCGAAGGGAAACCAAGUCUUAAUAGGGCGAUUUAGUCGUUUGGCGUAGACGCGAAACCUGGUGAUCUAAACCUGUCCAGGAUGAAGCUGUGGUAAGACACAGUGGAGGUCCUAACCCACCGCCGUUGAAAAGUUGGGGGAUGAGGUAGGUUUAGGGGUGAAAAGCCAAUCGAACCAGGAGAUAGCUCGUUCUCUCCGAAAUGCAUCUAGGUGCAGCCUUGAGUGUUCAAUUAUGGGGGUAGAGCACUGAAUGAUCUAGGGGGCGUAUUGCUUACUGAAAUCAAUCAAACUCCGAAUACCAUAAUUUAGAGCUCAGGAGUGAGACUAUGGGAGUUAACUUCCAUUGUCGAAAGGGAAACAACCCAGACCACCAGCUAAGGUCCCUAAUUAUAACUAAGUGGGAAAGGAGGUGGAGAUUCACAAACAACUAGGAGGUUGGCUUAGAAGCAGCCAUACCUUUAAAGAGUGCGUAAUAGCUCACUAGUCGAGAGUCUCUGCGCCGACAAUGUAACGGGGCUAAGUUAUAAACCGAAGCUGUGGAAUCCGUAAGGAUUGGUAGGAGAGCGUUCUGUAGGCCGUUGAAGGAGAAGGGUAACCGACUCUGGAGGUAUCAGAAGUGAGAAUGCAGGAAUAAGUAGCGAGAAAGGGGGCGAGAAUCCCCCUCGCCGGAAGACCAAGGUUUUCAGGGUAAAGCUUGUCUUCCCUGAGUAAGCCGGGACCUAAGCCCAGGCUAUAAUGCGUAGGCGAAUGGAAAACAGAUUAAUAUUUCUGUGCCAGUCAUAUAUUGUGAUGGAGGGACGCAGAAGGGUAUGUGCGCGGACGAACGGAAGUGUCCGUAGAAGUAUGUAGGAUGACUUGAUAGGUAAAUCCAUUGAGUUAUAUCUGAGGUAUGAUAUACAGUCGUAAGAUGAAUGCGCAAAUCCCACGCUGCCAAGAAAAGCUUCUAACGUUAAUAUUUGACUGCCCGUACUGUAAACCGACACAGGUGGUCAGGAUGAGAAAUCUAAGGCGGACAGGCUAACUCUCGUUAAGGAACUCUGCAAAAUAACCUCGUAACUUCGGGAGAAGAGGAGCCCUUGGGUGUUAGUAUCCACGCGUUACAAAGCACUCGAGGGUCGCAGUGAAGAGGCUCAAGCAACUGUUUAACAAAAACACAGGUCUAUGCUAAGCUGGAAGGCGAUGUAUAUGGGCUGACACCUGCCCAGUGCUGGAAGGUUAAGAGGAGGAGUGAGAGCUCCGAAUUGAAGCCCCAGUGAACGGCGGCCGUAACUAUAACGGUCCUAAGGUAGCGAAAUUCCUUGUC
rnacentral:rRNA from 1 species